GCUUCCGGGGGGAGGUGCUGUGUUCAUGGAACCCUUGUUGGACUCGGGUGUCCUUCCCAGUACCUGGUGUCAGCAGCGGUUGGAACCCUCACAACGAUCCUGCGAAGUAGCUUCCACAAGCCCUCAGGGGUGGUCCCCUGUAAUAUCUCCCAGCCAGUUGUGUACUUGGCCUUGGCAUUCCUGAGUGGGGCCUGCUGGGCCUUCCAGUCCCUGGGAAGGUUUAAGCCGCUGUGGGUUCUGCCCUUGUUUGCUUCUGCUGAAUGUCGUCUGUGCGUGGACAGACCCCGCCAGCACCCAGGCUCCACACAGCGCGCUGGGUCCCGACUCCCAACCCCGCGUCUGCUCAGGAGGCUCUUGAUAAGUCCGCAGCAACGUGGGAUUCAGGAAUCGUGGUGAACAGAGAGCUGCGUUAAAAGGAGAGAGAAUCCAACACGGAUGGAGCAGCAGAUCAACAAUCCAAGUGGAAUCUAGCUCUGUGGUUGCUGAAUUCAUUUCAUUGUACAAUUCAAUUGAACAUUUUUGUACAAUUGCACAAGUUCUGUACAAUUUUGUGCAAUUGUACAAUUCAUUGUACAUUUUAUUGAACAAUUCAAGUCACUGCUCUGAGGACCACCGCCCAGGACAAGAAAUAGAAGAUCCGCUCCUUGGAGGCCCUUCUUGGGUUCUUCCCAACCGUUCAUUACUCUUGCCUUCCUCCCCGAAGGUCGCCACUGUCCAGACUUCCAAACCCAAGGGCUGGUUUUGUCUAUUCUGGAACUCCUGCUACAUGGAACCAGUGAGUGCGUAUGCUUCUGUGUUGGGUUCCUUUCACCCAGCAAAGUGUUUCGGAGGCUCAUCUGUGGUGCCCCCCUACAUCUGUCUCAGCUCACAGGAACCCACUGGGUGAAGGGACCCUACGCUCCAAAGCUGAUGAGCAUUUGAACGGUUCCCAGUUUUGGGAAAAUGCCGUGGCGAACGCUCUCGUCCACGUGUUCAAGCGCCCAUGUGUUUGCGUUUCUGUUGGAGCAGAAUCGGUUGCUGCAGGUCAGAGGAUGGACACAGGUCAG